AUGGGGGAAGAGCUGUUGUGUCACUUCCUCAAGCAGACAUAUUUACUAGAGCGUGCAAUCCACAACCUUCCAGUAAGAGAGGCAGCAGAAGGGAGGGGCUCACCUGAACUGUGUG
ensembl:miRNA Gm27353 predicted gene, 27353